CCCAAAGUCAGCGGUUUGGGCCUGCUGCUGUCAGGCCAUGGGUGUCUGCUGAGCUCCAAAGAGAAAGAGGUGGCCAGAGAAUCGAUUGCUACCUGCCCACCUGGGCUCAGAGGGCCAGCGGCAGCCCCUGAGAUCCCGCUGCUCCCAAUGUUGUCAAGCAGAUGAAGAUCAAGACAGCAGGGCCUUUGACCCGGAGGCUUGCAAGGAGUAGAAGCCCCUCUUCAUCCACAAUGCCAUCGACUUGCUGACCACAGCAUCUGGGCCCAGGCCACCCCUAACAUCAGCUUCCACCACUCCUACUGUGCCUACCACGCAGAGACCCAGGUGCAGCCCACCCUGGCGCCCCAGUGCCUGCCUCAAGCUCUACAAGGAUGACUGCAUGUCUCGAUGCCUGCCUGCACCUUUCUGCUUCUAUCUGCAACAACAUCUGGUUCACUAACUCCUCCUUCAUCCUUUUCCUGAACAGGAGCACCUGCUGGCCCAGGGAUCCAAGCGUCCCUCUCUGCAUCUGCCUCCUGAGGACCAGGCCCACAGCACCGACGAGGAGCCCCAGCGGCAGUUCAAGGCCCUGAGCCGCUAGAGGACCAAGGAGAGCUACUCCCUCCUCUCCUGUGCCACCCACACCCAUGACACCUAGUUUGUCCUUAAUGCAGUGACCAACGUCAUUGGAUGGAACAGUUCCAAGGACUUUGCUGAGGAGCCCGGCCCAGCCCGCUUGCCAGGAGUGAGACUCCUGCUAGAAAGGCCUAACCUGGGGCAGAAAAUGCAGGUCUCACCAUGUAGCCCAGGCUGGCCUUGAACUUACGGCAGUCCUCCAGCCUCAGUUUCCCAAGUGCUGGGAUUACAGGCAUACACCACCAUGCCAGGCUACAGAUUUUUAAAAGGAUACAUUUUGUCAUGUUAUUGUAAUAAAGUGUUUUCAAAAGACAAUAAUGCUAAUGUUUGCUAAGUGUACUGCGAUCAGCUACUGUGGUAACCAUCUUACAUGCACUUUGUCAAUUACUUCUCAUAUAACCAUUGGUUUUCAACCUCAUUUUCUAGAUUUAAAACAAAAAUCAAAAAUCAAGGGCCAGGGAUUUAGCUCAGUGGUUCCUCCACCUGCCUUGCAAGUGCAAGGUCCUGAGUUCGAUCCCCGGUACCAAAAAAAAAAAAUCAAACUCAACCUGAAUAAAUGUACAUGUACACAAAGCUCAGGGGCAGGAUGGGGGUCCAAAUCAAGGUCUAAUUAUAGGGGUGAUCAAUAUAUACU
ensembl:lncRNA